GAUGAACGCUGGCGGCGUGCCUAAUACAUGCAAGUCGAGCGAACAGACGAGGAGCUUGCUCCUCUGACGUUAGCGGCGGACGGGUGAGUAACACGUGGAUAACCUACCUAUAAGACUGGGAUAACUUCGGGAAACCGGAGCUAAUACCGGAUAAUAUAUUGAACCGCAUGGUUCAAUAGUGAAAGACGGUUUUGCUGUCACUUAUAGAUGGAUCCGCGCCGCAUUAGCUAGUUGGUAAGGUAACGGCUUACCAAGGCAACGAUGCGUAGCCGACCUGAGAGGGUGAUCGGCCACACUGGAACUGAGACACGGUCCAGACUCCUACGGGAGGCAGCAGUAGGGAAUUUUCCGCAAUGGGCGAAAGCUUGACGGAGCAACGCCGCGGGAGUGAUGAAGGUCUUCGGAUCGUAAAACUCUGUUAUUAGGGAAGAACAAAUGUGUAAGUAACUAUGCACGUCUUGACGGUACCUAAUCAGAAAGCCACGGCUAACUACGU
rnacentral:rRNA from 1 species